UACGUAGGCAGCGAGCGUUGUUCGGAGUUACUGGGCGUAAAGGGUGCGUAGGCGGUUGUUUAAGUUUGGUGUGAAAUCUCCCGGCUCAACUGGAGGUGCGCCGAAUACUGAAUGACUAGAGUGCGGGAGAGGAGAUGUGGAAUCCUGGUGUAGCGGUGAAAUGCGUAGAUAUCAGGAGAACACCGAUGGCGAAGGCAGGUCUCUGGCAUUAACUGACGCUGAGGAGCGAAAGCAGUGGGGAGCGAACAGG
rnacentral:rRNA from 1 species